UGGAAGAAUCUGUAAAGCUCAGGAGGGAUAGCGCCAUAGAAGAUGAGGAAGGAACUCCCAAGUUCUCAUCCAAUGCGCUAUCCAUCCUGAGCUUCAUGGCUUCUCCUU
rnacentral:pre_miRNA from 1 species